rnacentral:rRNA from 1 species
CCCUUAGAUGUCCUGGGCCGCACGCGCGUUACACUGAUGCAUUCAACGAGCUUAUAACCUUGGCCGAGAGGCCUGGGCAAUCUUGUUAACGUGCAUCGUGAUAGGGAUAGAUUAUUGCAAUUAUUAAUCUUGAACGAGGAAUUCCUAGUAAACGCAAAUCAUCAAUUUGCAUUGAUUACGUCCCUGCCCUUUGUACACACCGCCCGUCGCACCUACCGAUUGAAUGGUCCGGUGAAGCCUCGGGAUUGUGGCCAGUUCACUUUAUUGGGAGUUGGCUGUGAGAACUUGUCUAAACCUUAUCAUUUAGAGGAAGGUGAAGUCGUAACA